rnacentral:rRNA from 1 species
GGAUUAGAUACCCUGGUAGUCCACGCCCUAAACGAUGUGUACUAGAUCGCGGAGGUUUUGACGCCAUCGCGGUCGAAGCAAAAGUAUUAAGUACACCGCCUGGGGAGUACGGUCGCAAGGCUAAAACUCAAAGGAAUUGACGGGGGCUCACACAAGCGGUGGAGCAUGUGGCUUAAUUCGAAGCAACGCGAAGAACCUUAUCCAGGGUUUGACAUGGUUGGAUUAGCUUCCCGAAAAGGAAGUGACGCGUUUACGUGGAACAACCACAGGUGCUGCAUGGCUGUCGUCAGCUCGUGCCG